AUGCUCCAUUGUUUGAACCACCGGAAUGCAUCAGGGUGUCACUCAAAAUAUGAGGAAGGCUUUUGUCACUUGGCAUGUCCUGACACACCUUCAGGAAUGCUUUUCAUAUACCGGAGCGUUAUUUUUGUAAAUAGUACAUGCAAGGCAUUUCAUUUUGCUUUUUUAUUUAUUUAUUUUUUGCUCUGCCUUGUUUUAUUUUAUUUAAUUAUUAGUAUUAGUAUCUUAAUUUUGUUUUGCUUUGCUCUUCUUUUUUCUCUCAUGACCCAUGUGACCCGUCUUAUCUAUUUACCCUGCAACAGCAGGGAGACAGCUGGGCCUCUGGAGAGCCUGAUUCCUGGCCAACAGCAGGAGGAGAGGCUGGCUGGUGUGCCACUCACCGAUCUUCAAGCAAACAUCAGACUCACCUACAGGGUUCCAGCCGAUUUUGGCCUGCUGGUUGUUGGGGUGGUUGUCAUGGCAACAGGUGUGGUUCAUAGGCAGAGCCAAACAUUUGAUACCACUAUUACUACUGUACUGGGAUCAGUGGGACAGCUAGUUAGACACUGAGAAUUGAACUCAACAUUCAUGACCUUCAGGGAGGGCGGCCCACAACAACAUGCUCCUUGGCACAGGAAAUGGUUAGAGAUAAAUUAAUUAUGUAUUUAUUUAUUUUACUGGCACUUGAAAUAGCAGGAGAUUUAGAAAAAAUGUGUGUCAAUACUGAAGCUGGUAUUGUCACAAUAUGUAAUGGCACCUGAAAUCAAUGUUUUUUUUUUGUUUUUUUUUUGCUGGAAUCAGAUUAUGUGUAUAAAAUGGAAUUAUAUUUUGAAACUGUUUCCCUGUUUAAAGCAGCUAAGAGGCUUGUACGCUGAAAGCGAUGGUGUGACAAUCUCUCUCUCUCUCUCUCAUUAGUGUGUGUGUGUGUGUGUGUGUGUGUGUGUGUGUUUAAGAAACAGAGAGCUAAGUGUGCAUAACUGGUCUGCAGAUCAGGAAAUUAUAUAUUAAGGGGUAAUAUAUCCUAAAAAUAUCUCUUUCAGGGCAGUGUUUUUUUAAACUCUGUUUGGUCUAAAGAAGCAAAUUAAACACAGAGGUCAUUGUAUUUUCUUUAGAAUGCUUUAUAUGUGAAAUACUUUGCUCAUACCUGCUAGUUAACAGUGCUUGGGUAAGGGAUGUUGGGGACAGAAAUAGUAAGAGUAUAUAUGACCUGAGGCUGGGGGUGAUCAUAAAAUGUUAUCAUAAGAUGAUUAAAUGCAAUUUUGCUGUAAUAAUAUAAUAUUUCAAACCAUUUAUGCUUGACAGCUUUCUCUGUUUCUCUGAAAGGUUCCUGUUUCCUCAUGUCUAAGAGAGCCAGAGGACAAGCUCUGCCCUGUCAAACUGAAUCUGCUCCAUCUCCUUCAGUCUGGGACAAUAAGAAUGUCUCCACUAAGAUCCUGGAUCACUGACAAACAAAGCAUUGCACUGGAGUGACAGAAAAGUGAUGACAGGCUGGCUAUAUCCCCUGCUGGUGCGUGACUGCUCAAGUUUGAUGCACAUCAUUCAACUUGCCUCUUUAUUUGGUUUUCUUUAAAAUGCCUCUUUCUUCUCUCUCUCUCUCUCUCUCUCUCUCUCUCUCUCUCUCUCUCUCUCUCUUUCAUUCUUGAUAUUUUAGAGUAGAUCUCUGCUCAUUUAUUGGACAAAGCUGGACAGUAGAAGACAAGCCUGAACAGAAUUGUCAUUUUUGGGGUCCUGCAUCUAAUUUCAAGACAGUGGAUAUGCACACAUAGACAGAGUUUCACCGUGACCGAUGAUGGUAUGAUAUCAAUGUUUGCGGUAGGAGGAUGAGUAGGCAGUAGAAUAUGGAUCAUUUUUUGGCAUUGCUGGUUGAAGCUGAUUGGACAGAGUUUAGACGGGACUGGUGCUGUCUGUUGAACAGUGACCACUCUAGCAUAGAGAAAGCAAGAAAGAGAUUGUUUUAUGUUGAGGAUUUCACUUUCACUUUAAUUCCUGUUAUGUGGGUGGAAUUUCUUCACUGAACUAGAACUAUAAACAGGCCAUUUCUGAUACUGUGCUCCUCAGCUUUUAAACAGCUUUAUCACGCCUCUCUGUAUGUCUGAGUAACGCGUGACAUCUGGGAAUGUCAGCCAUGUGAAAUGGCAAAAGAUUUUCCCUUUAGCUACAAUGUUUACAAGUUUAUAUUUUUAAAUUUUAUUGAAUAUUGCUAAUGUAAUUUAUUGAACCAAAUAUUUUUAAACUGCGUUUUAUUAAAUAAAAGCCAAAUGUAGGGUGUGGAAUGUUUGUAU
ensembl:lncRNA